rnacentral:lncRNA from 1 species
CCCUGCCCUGCCAGUCCUAGGGCAUUGGCCUCAUGAUUGCUGUUCCUGUGCACUGAACUCAGGGCCUCCGUCUCCAUAAGUUGAUCGUUAUUCCUAAAUAAUUUCAAAUUGGUCUCCCAUUAACUCCAUGAUUUGAGUUUAGCAACUCCUACCUUUGGUGGAUUCCUCUGGCAUCUUCACAAAGACAGAGGGUCGUCUUAGCUCUGCCUUACCCCAAGCUGUGCUGCCACCAUGGAUAAAUAGCCUGUAGUCUUCCUCUUCUUCAGCACUUUACCUACAGCAGUGCUUGUGCCUGGAGCAGAGCUCUGUUCUAGCCACAGAUUACUCACACCUGCUUCAGGUCAUUUUGCUUUUAAAUAUCCUUCAUGGUGAGAUGCUAAAGUUUCGUAAUGAAGGUUUUAAAUAGCUUCUUCCUGGUUGUAAAAGUUCAUUCCAGGAAACAAUAUUGGAACUGGGAACUGGUGGGGCUGUGAAGGCUGUAGCCCUUGCUCUAGGCAUUUCCCCUUCUCAGAGCUGGAGAUGACUCACUACCCCAGCAUUUGCCUGUUUCACUGAUGAGGCUUUACCUCCCUUUCAAUUUGAGGUGUGCUUAGGGAAAGCAAGCCGAGGUGCUGCGCAUAACAACUCCAGACUGUGGCUAAGUGAUCGUGUGAUGGAGCCAUCAGUCCAGGACUCUCUCAUGGUCCAGCUCCGACAUUUACAAAACGUCUGACUAUGAGUUGCUCACCUUCUGAACUCAGCCAUCAUGCUGUAAGAAACCCGAGCCGUAUGCAGAAGUGUGGUGGAGGUGACCUGGUUGACAGUGCGAGCUGACCUCUGAUCUUCCAGUCUCCUAGCCAUCAACGAAAAAUGGAUUCUAUCAUCACGAUCAUCAUCAUGGACAUAACAGUGGAGGAAGACAGAGUACGCUGAAAGAAACAGAUUCAACAGAGCUUCCAAACUUGUGCACAGUGUAAUAUUAAAUUUGCAUUUCCUUCCUUUCCUUCCAAUCUAUCUAAAUUUGUUAUUUUGCAUAUAGGAGAUAUUCAGUGCUUUUUUUUUUUUUUUUUUUGCUGAGGAAGAUGCACCUGAGCUAACAUCCAUUGCCAAUCUUCCUUUCUUUCUAUGUGAGCUCCAACCACACCAUGGACACUGAUGAAGUGGUAUAGGUCUGUGCCCAGGAACUGAACCUGGGCCAUGGAAGCAGAGCAUGCCAAACUUAACCUCUAGGUCAUGGGGCUGGCCCACAGUGCACUUUUUUAAAGAAAAUGAAGCUGUCCCUUGGUUUCAUCUUAUAUAAAAGGUCAGAACUGAAUUAGAAUAUUUCUAAGCUCUCUGUGAAACAGCUUCAUUUGUUAGAAAAAAUUAUAACGUUUGGAAGCAACAGACCUACAUUUGAAUCCUAGUUCUGAAGUGUACAGGUCAUGUUAUCUAUUUUCUCUGGGCCGCUGUGACUUCAUCUGUAAAUGAAUCUGCAUUAUAUUGAUCUAAAUUGAAGGACUGUUGGGCAGCAAAACCUGACAUAGAGUAAGCACCCAACAAAAGGUACUAGGACAACUACUUAUAAAUAUGAAAAAAAGAAAGGCUCUUCACACAGAAGAUACUGUGCUUUGCUUUUUUUUCCCUUUAAUGUGUACUAUUUACAGACCUACCAGAAACUAUUUAAAAAUUUUAAUAUGAGCUGCUAUGUUAGUGCAUGCAUUUUGGCCACCAUAUGCAAUAUUGUUUCCGUUUUUAUUUUCCCACCAAUAUAUUGCCUAUGAUGUUAGCAUAUUUUUUUGUUUUGUUUUAGUGGUCAUGGUAUAAUGAACAAAUGCAUUAAAUAAAUAAUAAAAACAAAUGCAAUAAAGCUUGGUACAUCGUAAGUGAUCAGUUAGUGUUAGUUAUUAUGAUCGUAUUCACAUCUACAUGAUUCAUUUAUAAGGCAUGAUAUUAAGAUAGCAACCAAAUCCAGAACUUGAAAUUACAAAACAAGCAAGGAAUAUUAAAUGCAGUGUUCAUUUAUCUCUGUUUCAUAGAGCAAUCAAAACACACUUUAUUUUCUAGGAUUAUAUUUAAAUAAGUUAUUGACAUUUUAUUUUUGAGGUGAAUCUUUCGUAUAUAGGACAUUGAGAACAUGAAACAGUAAUGUUAUUAGAAAAACAGUUAAGAGUUACCAUCAGGAGUUUCACAGAAGAGUUUAUUCUAAUCAUUAAAUAACAAUUGUUUGAUCUACUUUGUGUUUACUUACGAUAUCUUUAAAAUGAAAUUGUUCUUUUUAAUGUCUCAAAAAUAAACAUACAUAU